CCUACGGGAGGCAGCAGUGGGGAAUAUUGCACAAUGGGGGAAACCCUGAUGCAGCGACGCCGCGUGAGUGAAGAAGUUUUUCGUUAUGUAAAGCUCUGUUAGUAGGGAAGAAAAUGACGGUACCUGACCAAGAAGCUCCGGCUAACUACGUGCCAGCAGCCGCGGUAAUACGUAGGGGGCAAGCGUUAUCGGGAUUCACUGGGUGGAAAGGGAGCGUAGGCGGCAGGGCAAGUCUGGGGUGAAAGGCGGGGGCUCAACCCCCGGACUGCACUGGAAACUGCCAGGCGGGAGUGCAGGAGAGGUAAGUGGAAUUACUAGUGUAGCGGUGAAAUGCGUAGAUAUUAGGAGGAACACCAGUGGCGAAGGCGGCUUACUGGACUGUAACUGACGUUGAGGCUCGAAAGCGUGGGGAGCAAACAGGAUUAGAUACCCCAGUAGUC
rnacentral:rRNA from 1 species